GGGGGAUAUUGCACAAUGGAGGAAACUCUGAUGCAGCAACGCCGCGUGAGGGAAGAAGGUCUUCGGAUUGUAAACCUUUGUCCUCGGUGACGAUAAUGACGGUAGCCGAGGAGGAAGCUCCGGCUAACUACGUGCCAGCAGCCGCGGUAAUACGUAGGGAGCGAGCGUUGUCCGGAUUUACUGGGUGUACAGGGUGCGUAGGCGGCUCUGCAAGUCAGGAGUGAAAACUAUCGGCUUAACCGAUAGACUGCAUUUGAAACUGUCGGGCUUGAGUGGAGCAGAGGCAGGCGGAAUUCCCGGUGUAGCGGUGAAAUGCGUAGAGAUCGGGAGGAACACCAGUGGCGAAGGCGGCCUGCUGGGCUUUAACUGACGCUGAGGCACGAAAGCAUGGGUAGCAAAC
rnacentral:rRNA from 1 species